UUUAAGAUGCCUUAUUACUCAUGUUACUCAUUAAAAUUAUAUAAAUGUGUUUAAUAAUCAGAUUAAAUAAAUACUUUAAUUGUUUCAGGAAUGCCUCCAUGUGAAUAUUGCACAAGGUUUUGUGUCUAUUAACUUUAACAGAAUUAAGGAUGUAAAUAAAAAUAAGUUUAUGAUUUGACACCUGUAUUAUAGACAGCUCUCAGCAUACUCAAAAUUAGGGGUAAUCACAAUUAUUUUACCAUAUUUACAGUCCUAAUGUAAAUUAAAUUACUAAAAUAAGUGUUUUUUAUUUUUAUUAUUUUUUUUCAAUAGAAUUGGCCCAGAUGUCUGCAGUGUCAAGUAAAGGAAGCUCCUCUCAUAAGAUGGGAGUCAAACUGGGAGUCUGAUGACACUGAGUGAUGGAAGCCCUUCAAGAAAGGAGCAGAAUGCUGAAGAUGAAGCCAGAAUUAAGCCAAGUUCCUGGCUUUUCCCAAGACCUUCAAGGACACGAUUGACCUCAGAAUCAGCUGUAAAGGAGGAUGAAACCAAUGUUUAAGAAUGGGACAGCGACAUUGCAUCAAUUUGUCUCCUUCACUUGAUUCCACCAUCACCACAAGGCUGCGAGGGACCUGGAAAAAUGUCCUCCUAUCAAACUGAAAAACAUCUUCAAAAAGGCACUAAUAAGAAGAAUACCUUGUAGAGACCGCACAGCCAUACCUGCUCGCUGAUGGGACAACGAGGAACCGUGUUCAUGGAUGCUACACAACUGUCAACAAGUAUCUUGCUGCAAUCUUGUUCAAAUCUACCUGUCAUAUUUGUUCAUGUUUUAUUAACUAUUUUAUAUUUCCGUGCAACACUUAAUGAAUGUGACUGACUAA